rnacentral:lncRNA from 1 species
GCUCGGGAGACCCAGCAUACCCCGGUGGCCCCUUCUUCAACCCUCUAGGGUUUGGCAAAGAUGAGAAGUCAAUGAAGGACUUGAAGCUGAAGGAGGUGAAGAAUGGGAGGUUGGCGAUGUUGGCCAUCGUGGGCUACUUCAUCCAAGCCCUCGUGACUGGUGUUGGGCCUUACCAAAACCUCUUGGAUCACCUGGCUGACCCAGUCAACAACAACAUUCUAACCAACCUCAAGUUCCAUUAGGGUUUUAAGUACUUCCCUUCUGUGUCACCACCGCCCCCCCUUGUGAUAUCGUAGUUUCAUGUGAAAAGAGGUUUGAAUGAGGGAUCAAUGUGGAACCUUGACGUGUAAAAAACUGAAAACUGCACUUCUAAAUAG